UACGGGGGGGGCAAGCGUUGUUCGGAAUUACUGGGCGUAAAGGGCUCGUAGGCGGCCAACUAAGUCAGACGUGAAAUCCCCAGGCUCAACCUGGGAACUGCGUCUGAUACUGGAUGGCUUGAAUCCAGGAGAGGGAUGCAGAAUUCCAGGUGUAGCGGUGAAAUGCGUAGAUAUCUGGAGGAAUACCGGUGGCGAAGGCGGCAUCCUGGACCGGCAUUGACGCUGAGGAGCGAAAGCCAGGGGAGCAAACGGG
rnacentral:rRNA from 1 species